rnacentral:rRNA from 1 species
AUUGAACGCUGGCGGCAGGCCUAACACAUGCAAGUCGAACGAGUGGCGGACGGGUGAGUAAUGUCUGGGAAACUGCCCGAUGGAGGGGGAUAACUACUGGAAACGGUAGCUAAUACCGCAUACCAUCGGAUGUGCCCAGAGUGGUUUAGCUAGUAGGGGGGGGAACGGCUAACCUAGGCGACGAUCCCUAGCUGGUCUGAGAGGGUGACCAGCCACACUGGAACUGAGACACGGUCCAGAAUCCUACGGGAGGCAGCAGUGGGGAAUAUUGGACAAUGGGCGAAAGCCUGAUGCAGCCAUGCCGCGUGUAUGAAGAAGGCCUUCGGGUUGUAAAGUACUUUUAGCGAGGAGGCGUUACCUGCAGAAAAAGCACCGGCUAACUCCGUGCCAGCAGCCGCGGUAAUUC